AUUGAACGCUGGCGGCAUGCCUAACACAUGCAAGUCGAACGGCAGCACAAUAAAGAUUUCGGUCUUUAUGGGUGGCGAGUGGCGGACGGGUGAGUAACGCGUAGGAAUCUGUCCUGGAGAGUGGGAUAACCCGAGGAAACUCGGGCUAAUACUGCAUGACAUUGAGAGAUCAAAAGCAGGGGACCGAAAGGCCUUGCGCUCUGGGGUGAGCCUACGUCGGAUUAGCUAGUUGGUGGGGUAAAGGCCUACCAAGGCGACGAUCCGUAGCUGGUCUGGGAGGAUGACCAGCCACACUGGGACUGAGACACGGCCCAGACUCCUACGGGGGGCAGCGGUGGGGAAUCUUGGACAAUGGGGGAAACCCUGAUCCAGCGAUGCCGCGUGUGUGAAGAAGGCCUUCGGGUUGUAAAGCACUUUAGGUGGGGAAGAAAGGUAGCGAGUGAAUAACUUUCUGCUGUGACGGUACCCACAGAAUAAGCACCGGCUAACUCUGUGCCAGCAGCCGCCGUAA
rnacentral:rRNA from 1 species